UGGGGAAUAUUGCACAAUGGGCGAAAGCCUGAUGCAGCGACGCCGCGUGAGGGAUGGAGGCCUUCGGGUUGUAAACCUCUUUCGCUCAUGGUCAAGCCGCAGCUUUGGGUUGUGGUGAGGGUAGUGGGUAAAGAAGCGCCGGCUAACUACGUGCCAGCAGCCGCGGUAAUACGUAGGGCGCGAGCGUUGUCCGGAAUUAUUGGGCGUAAAGGGCUUGUAGGCGGUUGGUCGCGUCUGCCGUGAAAUCCUCUGGCUUAACUGGGGGCGUGCGGUGGGUACGGGCUGACUUGAGUGCGGUAGGGGAGACUGGAACUCCUGGUGUAGCGGUGGAAUGCGCAGAUAUCAGGAAGAACACCGGUGGCGAAGGCGGGUCUCUGGGCCGUUACUGACGCUGAGGAGCGAAAGCGUGGGGAGCGAACAGGAUUAGAUACCCUGGUAGUCCACGCUGUAAACGUUGGGCACUAGGUGUGGGGGCCACCCGUGGUUUCUGCGCCGUANCUAACGCUUUAAGUGCCCCGCCUGGGGAGUACGGNCGCAAGGCUA
rnacentral:rRNA from 1 species